AGUGAUUUUCCGGUUGAUCCUGCCGGAGGCCAUUGCUAUCGGAGUCCGAUUUAGCCAUGCUAGUUGCACGGGUUUAGACCCGUGGCGAAAAGCUCAGUAACACGUGGCCAAGCUACCCUGUGGACCGGAAUAACCUCGGGAAACUGAGGAUAAUUCCGGGUAACGCUCCCUCACUGGAAUGUGGGGAGCUGGAAACGUUACGGCGCCACAGGAUGCGGCUGCGGCCGAUUAGGUUGACGGUGGGGUAACGGCCCACCGUGCCCAUAAUCGGUACGGGUUGUGAGAGCAAGAGCCCGGAGACGGAAUCUGAGACAAGAUUCCGGGCCCUACGGGGCGCAGCAGGCGCGAAACCUUUACACUGCACGACAGUGCGAUAGGGGGACUCCGAGUGCGAGGGCAUAGAGCCCUCGCUUUUCUGUACCGUAAGGUGGUACAGGAAGAAGGGCUGGGCAAGACCGGUGCCAGCCGCCGCGGUAAUACCGGCAGCCCAAGUGAUGGCCGAUAUUAUUGGGCCUAAAGCGUCCGUAGCUGGCCGGACAAGUCCGUUGGGAAAUCCGCACGCUUAACGUGCGGGCGUCCAGCGGAAACUGUCCGGCUUGGGACCGGAAGACCCGAGGGGUACGUCCGGGGUAGGAGUGAAAUCCUGUAAUCUCGGACGGACCACCUGUGGCGAAAGCGCCUCGGGAAGACGGAUCCGACAGUGAGGGACGAAAGCCAGGGUCUCGAACCGGAUUAGAUACCCGGGUAGUCCUGGCCGUAAACGAUGUCCGCUAGGUGUGACGCAGGCUACGAGCCUGCGUUGUGCCGUAGGGAAGCCGUGAAGCGGACCGCCUGGGAAGUACGUCUGCAAGGAUGAAACUUAAAGGAAUUGGCGGGGGAGCAC
rnacentral:rRNA from 1 species